rnacentral:rRNA from 1 species
GACGAACGCUGGCGGCGUGCCUAAUACAUGCAAGUAGGACGCACAGUUUAUACCGUAGCUUGCUACACCAUAGACUGUGAGUUGCGAACGGGUGAGUAACGCGUAGGUAACCUGCCUAUUAGAGGGGGAUAACUAUUGGAAACGAUAGCUAAUACCGCAUAACAGUAUGUAACACAUGUUAGAUGCUUGAAAGAUGCAAUUGCAUCGCUAGUAGAUGGACCUGCGUUGUAUUAGCUAGUAGGUAGGGUAAUGGCCUACCUAGGCGACGAUACAUAGCCGACCUGAGAGGGUGAUCGGCCACACUGGGACUGAGACACGGCCCAGACUCCUACGGGAGGCAGCAGUAGGGAAUCUUCGGCAAUGGGGGGAACCCUGACCAAGCAACGCCGCGUGAGUGAAGAAGGUUUUCGGAUCGUAAAGCUCUGUUGUUAAGGAAGAACGAGUGUGGGAAUGGAAAGUUCAUACUGUGACGGUACUUAACCAGAAAGGGACGGCUAACUACGUGCCAGCAGCCGCGGUAAUACGUAGGUCCCGAGCGUUGUCCGGAUUUAUUGGGCGUAAAGCGAGCGCAGGCGGCUAGAAAAGUCUGAAGUGAAAGGCAGUGGCUCAACCAUUGUAGGCUUUGGAAACUGUUUAACUUGAGUGCAGAAGGGGAGAGUGGAAUUCCAUGUGUAGCGGUGAAAUGCGUAGAUAUAUGGAGGAACACCGGUGGCGAAAGCGGCUCUCUGGUCUGUAACUGACGCUGAGGCUCGAAAGCGUGGGGAGCGAACAGG